rnacentral:rRNA from 1 species
CACGCCGUAAACGAUGAAUACUAGGUGUAGGGGGUAUCGACCCCCCCUGUGCCGCAGUUAACACAAUAAGUAUUCCACCUGGGGAGUACGGCCGCAAGGUUGAAACUCAAAGGAAUUGACGGGGGCCCGCACAAGCAGUGGAGUAUGUGGUUUAAUUCGACGCAACGCGAAGAACCUUACCAGGGCUUGACAUCCUCUGGCCGGCGCAGAGAUGCGCCUUUCCCUUCGGGGACAGAGAGACAGGUGG